GAUGGAGGCCCAGGAGGAAAGCAUCCAUGAGAGAACUGUCUCCAGAAAAAAGAAAAGUAAGAGACACAAAGAAGAACUGGAUGGUGCUGGAGAAGAGUAUCCCAUGGAUAUUUGGCUAUUGCUGGCCUCCUAUAUCCGUCCUGAGGACAUUGUGAAUUUUUCCCUGAUUUGUAAGAAUGCCUGGACUGUCACUUGCACUGCUGCCUUUUGGACCAGGUUGUACCGAAGGUGCGACCACAGAGAGCUCACUUUUAUCUGUGUAGCUGAUUUCAUUACUGUUUGUGAUUUGGAGCUACUCACUGGAUGGUGAUCUCUUUUCACUUUCUCUACUCCAUGUCUGGGCAUGACCCAGCUUUGGAAUCCUUGAGCCCUUCUCUAAUUUAAAUUUGAUAUUAUUAAUUAUCCAGGUAAUUGUCUUCUGUGUGGUUGCCUCCUUCCCCACUCCAGUAUCCACUUUCAGCAAAACGUCUUCCUUCAAGUCCCAGAGAGAAGAGUCUUUGACUUUUCUUCAGAGGCUUACUUUAGCUAGAAUGUUUAAAGCUACAGAUGCCUAUCUGUUCAUCUUUCCAGCUGGAUUAGGUGUUGCUUAGAUUUGCUAGUUGUCUUUAAGUAUUACAGUUUUUGUAUUUAUGCAGCCUUAUGUAUAGUUGUAGUGGUAAGGAGUAGGUAAAUUAUGUGAUUAGUAAAAGGGCUAGUUUUUGAUGCUAGGUGUGGAAGUGUGGUGACAAUUGUAAACUGUCAGGCUGUG
rnacentral:sRNA from 1 species